AAAGGAAUUGACGGGGACCCGCACAAGCGGUGGAGCAUGUGGUUUAAUUCGAUGCUACGCGAAGAACCUUACCAGGACUUGACAUCUUCUGCCAAUCUAAGAGAUUAGACGUUCCCUUCGGGGACAGAAUGACAGGUGGUGCAUGGUUGUCGUCAGCUCGUGUCGUGAGAUGUUGGGUUAAGUCCCGCAACGAGCGCAACCCUUGUCUUUAGUUGCCAGCAUUAAGUUGGGCACUCUAGAGAGACUGCCGGUGAUAAACCGGAGGAAGGUGGGGAUGACGUCAAAUCAUCAUGCCCCUUAUGUCCUGGGCUACACACGUGCUACAAUGGGCGAUACAACGAGUUGCGAAACCGCGAGGUCAAGCUAAUCUCUUAAAGUCGUUCUCAGUUCGGAUUGCAGUCUGCAACUCGACUGCAUGAAGUUGGAAUCGCUAGUAAUCGUGGAUCAGCAUGCCACGGUGAAUACGUUCCCGGGUCUUGUACACACCGCCCGU
rnacentral:rRNA from 1 species